rnacentral:snRNA from 1 species
AUACUUACCUGGCAGGGGAGAUACCAUGAUCACAAAGGUGGUUUACCCAGGGUGAGGCUUAUCUAUUGUGCUGACCCCUGCGAUUUCCCCAAAUGUGGGAAACUUGACUGCAUAAUUUGUGGUAGUGAGGGACUGCAUUUGUGCUCUCCCCUG